rnacentral:tRNA from 1 species
UAGGCGCAUCCCGGAAUCGAACCGAGGUAAACGGAUUUGCAAUCCGCUGCAUAACCACUCUGCCAACACGCCU